CGGGAGAUAGUGUAGUGGUAGCAUUUGAGAUUGUGGCUCUCAAGGGUUGGGUUCAAUUCCCCUUCUCCCGA
rnacentral:tRNA from 2 species